UUUUUUUUUUUUUUUUUUUGGCUUCUUCUCCUUCAUAAAUACAAAGUGAGAUAACUGUACUUUUAACAUUAUAACUGACUAAGAAAUUCCACUAUUUUGAUGACCUCCUAUCAGGAACAGCAUAAAAAUAUUACUAAAUUAAGAACUAGUAAUCUCUUAAGAGAGAGAGAGAGAGAGAGAAAGGGAUUGAGGGGAGGGAGUAACCAUUUUAUCACAAGAAGUUCCCAGUCAAAAUCCCAUCAUACCAAUGAUGAUUUUAGAUGUUCUAACAUGAAAUCCAGUAUUCAUUUGAGAAUAUUUUCUCCUGACUUAACAUGCAGUAUCCUCUGAUAGCAUUAAUUUUAAUAUAAUGAAAGGAAACUCUAUCAUCUCAACUAUUUCAUUUGCAUACUAUAAUUUCUAUAUGAUUCAGUUCCAUAUCAAUUUGAAGCCCAGGAGCCAAAAAUAAAUGUAUCAUUAUCACCAAAUUGCAGAAUUUUUUCUCUUUAUAAAGAUGAAUUUAUUCUUAAAAUAAAUUUAUUCUAAUCCAACUUGAAAUACCAGCCACUAUCACAGUAGACUAUUCUGAAGGCUAAAAGAAAAGCUAAGGGAUCCUCUGGUCUAAGUCAGAUCACUUUUAGAACCCAUCAAGGAGAGGGGUUUCAAACCCCAUCUUAGGAUUCCCAAAGGAAAGAAAUUUCAUAACAUCUCCCAAUAACUUCUUCUGCAGCUUUGACUAUAGGGUAUGACAAUAUAGCAAUGAAAUAUAUAUCCAUAAAUCAGUCUUGAAAAUCUUUCAUAUCCCACAAAGGGAAUUUCUCAGGUCACUAAACUAAUAUUUUACUUUUCCUGCAUUAGACAAGUUGUUAAGAUGAAAUUUUAGCAAGUUGUCUUUUAUUGAGCCUCUUAUUUUCUUUUUCCUUUAGUGUAUUUUAAUAAAUGACAUAAUACUUACUAAAAAUUCUUUAUUUUGACUUAAAGGAUUUAUUGUGAAACUGCCCCUAUGCUGAUCUUUAAUCAUUGUAGAUAAUAUUGUUAUCUAUGAUACUCUUCUAAAAAAAGGCCCAUACUUAUUCUCUCAUGUAAAGGAAGGAAGGAAGGAAGGAAGGAAGGAAGGAAGGAAGGAAGGAAGGAAGGAAGGAAGGAAGGAAGGAAGGAAGGGGUAAAGGAGGGAAGGAAGAAGGAAGGAAAGGGGGAAGGAAGAAGGAAGGGAAGAAAGAGGGAAGGAAGGAAGAGAGAAAGAGAGAAGGAACAGACCGAUACACAUUAGUGAUUGGUCAUGGAUAGCUGGAAUAUUUUUGCUGCAAGAAUACUAACCAAUCCUUUUAGGAAUUUUUUUUGUUUUGUUUUUUGUUUUUUUGUUUUUUUGUUUGUUUGGUUUUUUUCUUUUAGGAAUUAAGUACAAAUGCAAGUUUAUGAAAGUCUAUCAGUUCUUAUAGCUUAUAAGAUUGAACUUUCCUUUUUCAAAAGGACUCAUAAAUGUUUUUGUUUCACAAAGAAUGUUUAUCUUCUUGAGUUUCUUUCAUAUGCUCCUAAAGAGCAAUGUGGUUUUGU
rnacentral:lncRNA from 1 species